GUACCACUGAAGAGUCCUAAAGGGUUAGGACGAAACAGCCGUCCAGUAC
rnacentral:hammerhead_ribozyme from 1 species